CGUAGGGUGCGAGCGUUAAUCGGAAUUACUGGGCGUAAAGCGUGCGCAGGCGGUUUGUUAAGAUAGGCGUGAAAUCCCCGGGCUCAACCUGGGAACUGCGCUUAUGACUGGCAAGCUAGAGUACGGCAGAGGGGGUGGAAUUCCACGUGUAGCAGUGAAAUGCGUAGAGAUGUGGAGGAACACCAAUGGCCGAAGGCAGCCCCCUGGGUCGAUACUGACGCUCAUGCACGAAAGCGUGGGUAGCAAACAGGAUUAGAUACCCUGGUAGUCCACGCCCUAAACGAUGUCAACUAGGUGUUGGGAGGGUAAAACCUUUUAGUACCGGAGCUAACGCGUGAAGUUGACCGCCUGGGGAGUACGGCCGCAAGGUUA
rnacentral:rRNA from 1 species